UCCGAAGUAGCUCAGUGGUAGAGCAACCGGCUGUUAACCGGUUGGUCGUAGGUUCGAAUCCUACCUUCGGAGCCA
rnacentral:tRNA from 3 species